rnacentral:rRNA from 1 species
AUGAACGCUGGCGGCGUGCCUAAUACAUGCAAGUCGAGCGAACAGACGAGGAGCUUGCUCCUCUGACGUUAGCGGCGGACGGGUGAGUAACACGUGGAUAACCUACCUAUAAGACUGGGAUAACUUCGGGAAACCGGAGCUAAUACCGGAUAACAUGUUGAACCGCAUGGUUCAACAGUGAAAGACGGUCUUGCUGUCACUUAUAGAUGGAUCCGCGCCGCAUUAGCUAGUUGGUAAGGUAACGGCUUACCAAGGCAACGAUGCGUAGCCGACCUGAGAGGGUGAUCGGCCACACUGGAACUGAGACACGGUCCAGACUCCUACGGGAGGCAGCAGUAGGGAAUCUUCCGCAAUGGGCGAAAGCCUGACGGAGCAACGCCGCGUGAGUGAAGAAGGUCUUCGGAUCGUAAAACUCUGUUAUUAGGGAAGAACAAAUGUGUAAGUAACUAUGCACGUCUUGACGGUACCUAAUCAGAAAGCCACGGCUAACUACGU